rnacentral:rRNA from 1 species
UACGGAGGGCGCAAGCGUUAUCCGGAUUCACUGGGCUUAAAGGGUGCGUAGGUGGGCAGGUAAGUCAGUGGUGAAAUCCCCGAGCUUAACUUGGGAACUGCCAUUGAUACUAUUUGUCUUGAAUACUGUGGAGGUUAGCGGAAUAUGUCAUGUAGCGGUGAAAUGCUUAGAUAUGACAUAGAACACCAAUUGCGAAGGCAGCUGGCUACACAAAUAUUGACACUGAUGCACGAAAGCGUGGGGAUCAAACAGG